UGGGGAAUUUUGCACAAUGGAGGAAACUCUGAUGCAGCGACGCCGCGUGAACGAAGAAGGUCUUCGGAUUGUAAAGUUCUGUCCUGGACGAAGAUAAUGACGGUAAUCCAGGAGGAAGCCCCGGCUAACUACGUGCCAGCAGCCGCGGUAAUACGUAGGGGGCGAGCGUUGUCCGGAAUGAUUGGGUGUAAAGGGUACGCAGGCGGUCUAUUAAGUUUGACGUGAAAGCCCGGGGCUCAACCUCGGCAAGCGUUGAAAACUGGUAGACUUGAAUAGUGGAAGGGACAGUGGAAUUCCUAGUGUAGCGGUGAAAUGCGUAGAGAUUAGGAAGAAUACCAAUGGCGAAAGCAACUGUCUGGACACAUAUUGACGCUGAGGUACGAAAGCGUGGGGAGCAAAC
rnacentral:rRNA from 1 species